UGUGGUAGUGUGAGGACAAGUGGUCAGGAGGUUACCGGAGAGAGGUGAGGCAGAGACGCAAAAACAGUCUGGAACCAGGUACCCCCAGGCUCCCCUGCCCCAGGACACCCCUUGGUCUCUACCCAGACCUUAAGGACCCGGGUGGCUCGCGCGCCGCCAUUUCCACAGGAUCCAGGUACCCCCAGGCUCCCCUGCCCCAGGACACCCCUUGGUCUCUACCCAGACCUUAAGGACCCGGGUGGCUCGCGCGCCGCCAUUUCCACAGGAUCCAGG